CAAAUAUCUUUUAUACGUAUUUAUUAAAUUAUUUAACGUCCGAACGAUUAUUAAUUUGAAAAUAUCUUUUUCAAAUGUAUUUUUUUUCGUCUAAAUUAAUUUUACGCAACAUAACCUUCACGUUUAUUGUCUGAAGUCAUGGAACAGGUGGACUUUUGUACUACAAAAGGUGACGGGAAUGACAAAUGUUGUAAUUCCUCUCCAUGCCCAGAAAUAGUAGCUAAUUCGAUGUCAGAUGAAAAUGUAUCAGAAAAAACAAAUGUACUCAGAACAGAUCAUGAAAAUGAUAGUGUACAGCCUAUUGAAGAUACAGCUGCUACUACAUCUCAAGACAUACCACAAGAAAAAAUAGACUUUAAAGUAAUCUACAACAAACAGAAGAUUAAUAUAAAUUUUGCAUUAGAUGGUACUGUGGCCGAGCUGAAAGCACAUCUUCAAAAUAUUAUUUCAGUGCCACAAGUAAUGCAGAAAGUUAUGUUUAAAGGAUUAGCCAAAGAUGAUCAAACGCUUAGAAACUUGGGAGUUACAAAAGGUGCCAAAGUCAUGAUAGUGGGAUCAAAACUAGAUGAUGUAUUAGCUGUAUCAAUUCCGUCAAAGCAGGAUCUAGCGGAUGAAGCUAGUUCUACUGCAAGUAAGGAACCUCUGUCGCAACAAAAAAUUCACCGUAAAAUUCUAGAUAAAGGUAUUCCAGAUGAUGUUAUGCCGGGUAUAUUAGAUAGUAAGGAACCACUACCUGAAUUUCCUAUCUCAGGUAUGCUGAAUAAAUUUCGUGGCAAGGUUAGACUUACAUUUAAAUUGGAACAAGACCAGCUUUGGAUCGGUACAAAAGAAAGAACUGAUAAAAUUCCUAUGAACUCAAUAAAAGGUGUCCAUAGUGAACCAAUACAUGAUCAUCCAGAGUAUCAUAUUAUGGGUAUACAAUUAGGCACAACAGAAGCAUCAAGAUAUUGGAUAUACUGGGUUCCUGCACAAUACAUAUCAGCCAUCAAGGAUGCUAUUCUUGGAAAGUGGUGUUACUUCUGAUCAAGUGCAAAUGGAAAUUUCGUUUUCUCUGAAAACAAUGUGUAAUCAAGUGUAAACAUUGACACAAAUACGAUUGUGCUAGUCACACACUUUUAACAGAAGAAGCGAAGAAAGAAGUUAUGAUGUUGCAUUUACUGACAUUUGAAGUUCGUCGAGAAAUAUUUCAUCUGAUUACCAUAAUUGGGGAAAAUUUUAAUCAAUUAUUGCAUCUAAAUAUUUCAUUUAAAAUGAUUUACUUAUUAUUAAAGUCAAAUUAAUAUGAAAAACAUUUAAAACGGAAUUUUACAUACAAAAGAUAAAAAGUAAUUU